UGGGGAAUAUUGGACAAUGGGCGAAAGCCUGAUCCAGCAAUGCCGCGUGAAUGAUGAAGGCCUUAGGGUUGUAAAGUUCUUUUAGUGGGAAAGAUAAUGACGGUACCCACAGAAAAAGCUCCGACUAACUUCGUGCCAGCAGUCGCGGUAAUACGAAGGGAGCUAGCGUUUUUCGGAAUCAUUGGGCGUAAAGCGCGUGUAGGCGGUUAUUUAAGUUAAAAGUGAAAUCCCAAAGCUCAACUUUGGAAUUGCUUUUAAAACUGAAUAGCUAGAGUUCAGCAGGGGAUGAUGGAAUUCCUGGUGUAGAGGUGAAAUUCUUAGAUAUCAGGAGGAACACCGGCGGCGAAGGCGGUCAUCUGGGCUGUAUCUGACGCUAAGGCGCGAAAGCGUGGGGAGCAAACAGG
rnacentral:rRNA from 1 species